GGGGGGAGUGGCUCCUGUCCUGACCAAGAGGAGAGAGAAACCAGAGAGGAACCCGAAGCUCAGUGAAGUCGGCCCGAGAUGGUGUAAAUCCCGUGCUGCCUCUGACUUUAAGAAGUCUGUCCUGGUGGUGGACAGAGGGCUCCCCAAUGGUGUCCUCCCACCCCUACGGCCACACCUGUUCCCACGGCCAAUGCGGUCGCUGCCUUACCCUGAAGCCCGCCACGGCGCAGUAGGACUUGCCUGGCCUCUCUUCUUUCCCACCCCCGUUCCAGUUCCCAUAUUGUGCCACUCUCACAGCUCGGGACGGGGGCUGAUCUGUAACUGCCCUUUUACAGAGCGAUCACAGAGGCUGGCAGACAGUCCCAGCACUUCCCCUCAGUGUCCUGGGAGCAAAGGAUCGAGAGGACUCUUGUGGAACAGAGAUGGUGGACCCGGAACCCCGAGAGAGGACCAACCACGUCAUUGAAAACACACCACGAGGCCAUGCCUGAUGAAAGGCUCCUCACUUUAUCGGUCCAACUCCAUCUCCUGAGAGAAACAGAAAUGUGCCUGCCAUUGUUGUCCUGUGAUCAUGAUGUAGUCUUUCUCUCUCCAAACAUAAAGAGGUUUAAAGCUGACACAGCAACCGAGCAGAGAGCACAGCCCACCCACGGCCUCUUCCUACAUUGGUCUACAUCACAAUGAAAUCUUUAGGGAGGUAAUCCUGCAUACAUCCCGACAGGCACUCACCAGAAAACAACCAUCCAGUGGGACUGGGGAUGGCAGCACCUCCCAUGGGCACAGCGCCCUGCCCCUGAGCAAGCAGAUGACUUCUUUCUCUUCAGCGAAGGUGUGGUCAGUAGGGGACCUCCCUCUUUUUUCUCUCCUGGAUAGCCCGGUGCCACACCAACCUUAUUAACCGUGAGGAUGAUGAAAAACUUUACAAAUCCAGCAAAUGGAGUUUAAAGAGUGGUCACCUCUUUGGGGUGGUCCACCAGAAGUCCGGAUUCACCCUCUCGGGGUGAGGCUUCUGGGUCUGAUGCCCCUGGGUAGUGAGGAGACAGAUAAGGACCCUCCUCCUUGCUAGGCUACUGACGGAGGUCUGCAAGGGACCACGAGAUAGGUUUGAGUCUCAGAUCUCGAGGGCAAGUGUGCAAGAAACACCAUUUUCCUUAUAUUCUAUGAUUCUUGUUCUGGCCAGACCCCCAUGCAGCUGCAAUGGCAGAAAUGCCCAGUUCACUCAUUUUGAGCUUCUUUAAUGAACCUCGUUACAAGGACAGCAUCCCGGGGAACAGAAUUGUGCUGGAGAAGGGCAGAGAUGGAAACACCUUACAGAAGAUUAUCAUUAUUUGCUAUCCUGGGGCAUUUAUAAGCCUAGGCUGACCCCUGCUGACGUCAUUCGGAAGUGGAUGUCCGGGUACCAUGGGCUUCCACCGCCAGCUGCCCACCCACAUCUUCUCUUUGAUUUCCUCACCUGUGGGUUUGAAAAAAUAAACCUGGAAAGGAACGCUCCCCC
rnacentral:lncRNA from 1 species